ensembl:snoRNA
UGCCUUUAUGUGUUGCCCUUUCAUUGCUUCCUUAGUGAUUGGGGUGUCAACUAAGGCAUACAGUGAAGUUUGUGGUUGUCUAUGAAAUGAGUUUCCAGUGACUCCUCUACAGAAACAACUGCAACGACACAC